rnacentral:rRNA from 1 species
UACAGAGGGGGCAAGCGUUAUUCGGAAUUAUUGGGCGUAAAGGGCGCGUAGGCGGCCUGGCAAGUGGAAGGUGAAAUCCCUCGGCUUAACCGUGGAACUGCCCUCCAAACUGCUUGGCUUGAGUCCGGGAGAGGUGAGUGGAAUUCCCAGUGUAGCGGUGAAAUGCGUAGAUAUUGGGAGGAACACCAGUGGCGAAGGCGGCUCACUGGACCGGAACUGACGCUGAGGCGCGAAAGCGUGGGUAGCAAACAGG